GAUGAACGCUAGCGGCAGGCUUAAUACAUGCAAGUCGAGGGGCAGCAUGAUUGUAGCAAUACAAUUGAUGGCGACCGGCAAACGGGUGCGGAACACGUACACAACCUCCCAAUAAGUGGGGAAUAGCCCAGAGAAAUUUGGAUUAAUACCCCGUAACAUAACGAUGUGGCAUCACAUUGUUAUUAUAGAUUUUUCGCUUAUUGAUGGGUGUGCGGCUGAUUAGAUAGUUGGCGGGGUAACGGCCCACCAAGUCUACGAUCAGUAGCUGAUGUGAGAGCAUGAUCAGCCACACGGGCACUGAGAAACGGGCCCGACUCCUACGGGAGGCAGCAGUAAGGAAUAUUGGACAAUGGACGCAAGUCUGAUCCAGCCAUGCCGCGUGAGGGAUUAAGGUCCUCUGGAUUGUAAACUUCUUUUAUAAGGGACGAAAAAAGGCUUUUCUAAGUCGUCUGACGGUACCUUAUGAAUAAGCACCGGCUAACUCCGUGCCAGCAGCCGCAGUAAAAC
rnacentral:rRNA from 1 species